rnacentral:rRNA from 1 species
GUGUCAGCCGCCGCGGUAAUACGAAGGGGGCUAGCGUUGUUCGGAAUUACUGGGCGUAAAGCGCGCGUAGGCGGCUUCGUCAGUCAGGGGUGAAAUCCCGGGGCUCAACCUCGGAAUUGCCUUUGAUACUGCGGAGCUUGAGUCCGAGAGAGGAUGGUGGAAUACCCAGUGUAGAGGUGAAAUUCGUAGAUAUUGGGUGGAACACCAGUGGCGAAGGCGGCCAUCUGGCUCGGUACUGACGCUGAAGUGCGAAAGCGUGGGGAGCAAACAGGAUUAGAUACCCUGGUAGUCCACGCCGUAAACGAUGGGUGCUAGCUGUUGGGGAGCCUAGCUCUUCAGUGGCGCAGCUAACGCGUUAAGCACCCCGCCUGGGGAGUACGGCCGCAAGGUUAAAACUUAAAUAAAUUGACGGGG